GGGAUGCAACUUAGAGUCUCCACAGCCACAGUGUGUUAAUAGUGAGGUUCAUGGCCGAACCUUAUGGUUAGUGAAUC
rnacentral:ncRNA from 1 species